rnacentral:lncRNA from 1 species
CAUAAGCCCGCUGCUGAAAGGUAACAAUGCCAUCGAUGAGAUCCCAAGGUUGUCCCAACUCGCUAGACUCCAGCUGUUCCCUGAAUGUGAUGAGCGUCGGGUUAGUGUGAGUGGCCUGACGGAGAGCUUCAAAUAUAUCGAAAGAAGGCCCGACGAUGGCGAGUGCAUGGCCUGUAGGAACAUCAUGGCGAGAAAGAGCGUCGGCGACGAUGUUUUGGCGUCAUGGUUUGUAUUCCACGGUGAAGUCUAACCCCAAUAGCUUACCCAACCAAUGAUGCUGGGGGAUGGUAGCCAGGCGUUGGUCCAGCAGAAACUUGAGGCUUUAGUGGUCAGUUUUGACGACAAAAGCACACCCCCAAAGGUAGGGCCGCCGGUGGCGCAUGGCGUGCACCAGACCAAUGAGCUCCCGCUCGUAAGCAGCGAGAGAGGCAUGGCGUGGAGCGAUGGUCUUGCUGAAAUAGGCAAUCGGCCCACCUCCCUGAUGUAGUACUGCACUGAAACCGGACCGAGAUGCAUCACAUUCCACAAUAAACGAAACGGCAAAAUCCGGUAACUGGAGCACUCGUGCUGUGGUAAGAGCAAUCUUGAGAGUGUCAAACGCGUUGGUCGCCUCAGAUGUCCAGAGAAACCCAUCUUUCUUGAGUCGCGAUGUGAGGGGUGGUGUAAUGGUGCCGAAAUCCCAGAUGAACUUGCGGUAGUAGCCGGCAAGACCCAAGAAAUCACGCACAGCUCGGACAGUGCGCGGAACUCGCUAGUCCACCACGGCGAGAACCUUAUCGCUUCCCAUGGCAACUCCUGCUGCAUAGAUGACAUGACCAAGGUAAGCCAUGGUUUCCUCCCCAAAUGAGACUUGGAGCGCCUGAGAAAAAGCUGAUGUGUGCGCAUAGCCUCCAAGACGAGCUUGACAUUACGAAGGUGAUCCGACCAGGAAAAGCUGUAUAUCAAAAUGUCGUCAAACAAAACAAGCACAAACCGACGAAGGAAGGGACCGAGUACUUCGUUCAUGAGUGCUUGGAACGUCUCUGGAGCGUUGAUCAGGCCAAAAGCCAUCACCACAAACUCAAAAAGGCCCUCAUGGGUGCGAAAUGCCGUCUUGUGGAUAUCUUGAGGGGCCAUCCGAACUUGGUGGUAACCGGACCGGAGAUCCAUGUUGAGUAUAUUGAUUAUUAGGAAAUAUGAGAUAGACAAGGAUUUGUCCUACCUUGCCUUGUACUCCUAUAUAUAUGCCCAUGAGGUUCAAGCAAUAAAAUAACUAUUCCACCAAUCCCUCUAUUCUCGUUCAACAUGGUAUCUGCCACAAGUUCCUAGACGUAGCCGCCGUUCGUCGCUUCUGCCCCGCGCGCCGCCCCUGGGGCGGUCGGUCUCCAUGACCACCGCCGGGGGCCAUGCCGCCCGUACCUAGGGUUCGUCCGCCGGUCCUGUUGACCGGCUGCCCUAGAGAGUCAUUUUCCCCGAUCUCUUGAUCCGGGUUUUUCUCUCUCACGCCGGUCUCUUGGUCAGCGCUCUUUCUUUUUGGUUUUCCGAUCUAAGAUCGGUUUGCGUCGCCUACCGCCGCCGUCGUCCACCGCGCGUGUACUUCGACAUCUGCGCGAUCCGACCUCUACACUGACCCAACGGCCUCACGCGACGCGGCGGCCCCUUCUGGCCGUCGAUCACGCGUCUCCUGUCGUCGUCCUGCACCAGCCGUCGCCGCUCAUCUCCAACCAGGACUGCUUCAUCAUCACCUACCUUCACCGUCGCCUCUCGUACGGUCUCGCAUCGGCUGCCGGCUCUCGCAGCAUCGGCCGGCUCCGGCCACAUCGGCCACGCCGCCUGCGUCGGGCCGGCUGCCUGCUCCGGCCACGUCACCUGCGUCGGGCCGGCUGCCUGCUCCGGCCACGUCGCCUGCGUCGGGCCGGCUGCCUGCUCCGGCCACGUCGGCUACCUCGGGCCGGCUGCCGGCUCCGGUCGCAUCGGCCUCGCCGGCUACAUCGGGCCGGCUGCCGGCUCUGGCCGCGUCGGCCGCAUCAUCCUCGCCGACUGGGCUCGCCACCUCGCUUUCGGCUCCGCCUCCACCGUCAUGGCCGACCUCAACUCAGAUGCCUCUACCCCGCCUCCAUCGAGCGACGUCCCCGACAUCGCGUGCGAUCGGAUUGAUCACCCGCACGUCCGCGAUCCACCUCAUCUACGCCGUGCGACCGAUCUGGCCCAUCCGUUGCACGCGCCUUCGCAGUUCCGGUGAAGGCUGUCCCGAGUAAAGUGUGCCACUCCAUCAAUCGAGCAAUGGGCUGUCGCUGCGGUCUUCCCGCUGUCACCCCGACCCGCGCGCUGCCACCUCAUCGCCCCAUCGGGCCGUAGCGCCGCAGCGCGUGGUCCACUCCGCCGUCCUCGCGCGUCGACUUCCUGUGGUAUUCGCCGUGCCAUCUCCUUCGGCACAGGAAUGCCAUCGUCUGCGCCGGAUUUCAAGCAUCGCUGCCACGUACCUACCCAGCCGCCGUCGCCGCCGUCAGGCCGCCGCCGCCGUCAGGCCACCGCAGCCGCGUCGCCCGUCCACCCUCUUCGUCAUUCGUCCAACACCAGCUCCUCGCCAGCGUCGACGUCGUCUACCCCGACUCCUCGACAUGACGUACAACUUGUGCAGGUCCGUCAUCUACGCAUGUGUAACGCCCCGGACACACCCGCCGGCGGUCGUUACUCCUGGCGGGAUCUAGACCGACCCCACAUAUCAAUACUAGUCAUGCGCACCCGGGAUCAACUUCCCGGUCGGUCACCCAUCCUAGAACUACUCCAAGCUGAGCAUGCUUAACCUGGGAGUUCUGUUCGAAUGGGCUCCCAGAAAAGAAGGAAUUCCUUAUUUAUAUGAGUAGUCUAUCACCCCUAAUAAGCCAGGCUAUCACAUACACCACUACUCAGAGGAACGGACGUCCUCGUCGGGUCACAGGAACAUUCCCUCUUGGCACAAAUGUCUGUGCAUCCAGUCGAGUACAUGUACCAUGCCGUGUGCCACGACGGGUCACAAACGUCAUGAACAACAUGACUGCGCACCUGUCCGCAAACAUCCGUGUAACCGCGGGGGUCGGCUCUGAUACCAACUUGUAAUGCCCCGGACACACUCGUCGGCGGUCGUUACUCCUCGCGGGAUCUAGACUGGCCCCACAUAUCAAUACUAGUCUUUUCUGCACACUUUGUCCUCACUCAUGCGCACCCGGGAUCAACUUCCCGGUCGGUCACCCAUCCUAGAACUACUCCAAGCUGAGCACGCUUAACCUGGGAGUUCUGUUCGAAUGGGCUCCCAAAAAGAAGGAAUUCCUUAUUUAUAUGAGUAGUCUAUCACCCCUAAUAAGCCAGGCUAUCACAGCAUGCCAGUGCUGGCAACACUGAAGCGUGCCUUCGUCCCCGGUGCGUUCCCAGGCUUGGCAAACCUGGAGCGACGCAUCAUCAAUAUCAUCUUCGUCCGUCUACGCAUGCCUGAUGCUGGCAACACCAAUGCGUGCCUUCGUCCACGAAGUGUCCCCGGGCUUGGCAAACCCGGCGCGACGCGUCGUCAAGUACGUCUCCUUCCCAACGCAUCACUACUUCGACACCACUACGCCCAUAACUGACUCGGCGCCCCCUUGCGCCCGCGGCUCCACGACGACUUCCUCGACACCGGCUACCUUGACUCGACAUCGACCACGGCAUUCUUCGCACGACUACCUCGACCACGGAUACACCACCCUACGCUCUCGGCUACCUCGACGUCGGCACAAAGGGCUACCGCCUUGCUUGAGCAACCUCGUCGGUUUCCACUCCAGCCACAACUUCCGCGAUGCAUCAACCGUUACGACUGUGGAGGGGAUGAACGUCGGCUUACCUUCGGAUUCUUCUCCAGUUUCACCGUGUGUGUCGCUACCGUUGUGAGUGCGGGGGGAUGUUGAGUAUAUUGAAUAUUAGGAAAUAUGAGAUAGACUAGGAUUUGUCCUACCUUGCCUUGUACUCCAAGUUGAUCAUUGUACUCCUAUAUAUAUGCCCAUGAGGUUCAAGCAAUAAAAUAACUAUCCCACCAAUCCCUCUAUUCUCGUUCAACAAUCCAGUUUGGUGAAAAAUCGAGUGCCUUUAAGCUCAUCCAGCAGUUCAUCGACAACUGGAAUAGGAAACUUGUCCUUGAUGAUGACAAGGUUGAGUCCCCGAUAGUCGAUACAGAAACGCCAAGAACCAUCAUGCUUUUUGACAAGUAGAACGGGUGACGAAAACACCGAUGAACUACGACGUAUAAGACCACGAGCCAGCAUCUCAGCACAUUGUCUCUCCAGUUCAUCCUUUUGAAUAGCCAGGUAGCGGUAGGGUCAUACAACGAUGGGCUGAGUCCCGGGAAUAAGGUGAAUAUGAUGGUCAUGGGCGUGCGGCGGUGGAAGGCCCUAGGGGUCGACGAAAACGUCGGUGAAUGUGGUCAGGAGGCUGUAAAGGAGGUCCUUGCCGUCGCACACAUCUAAAUGGGCAGGCCGUCCGGGUGAGCCGAGUCCUCACCACUCCACGCAGUGAUCCAAGUGCCAAAACGACGUCCAUUUGGUAUUAAAAUCCCACAAAAUUGGCCCAAGAGUUUUGAGAAAACGCGUACCAAGGACGACGUCGAAUCCGCCCAAUGGUAUGGCGUGCAGGUCGACAAUGAAACGCUCUUUAUCAAUCGUGAUAGUAGCCUGCUGAAAGAGUCCGCGGCAGUCCGAGGCGGCGGUCGGAGGAGAAAGGCAUUCCCACGACGGUGGCCAGGUCUUCGUGGGUGAAGUUAUGAGCGCUACCGGAAUCAAGCAAGGCGACCAGGUAACGAUCCCCGAUGCGAAGAGCGACGUGCAUGGUGUCACUGGUGGGGAUCCCUGUGAUAGCCAGAAGCGAGAUUUUGGCCUCCUGGAAACCCCCGAACUGCUCUUCGUCGUCGUCUGCUGACUGAAUGUAGAAAAGACGUUUGCAGCGAUAGCCCCGAGCGA